rnacentral:pre_miRNA from 1 species
GGGGAUAGUGCCGGAUCCUGGGCUGUGUCCCUGGUGUCCUGUGCUCCUGGGCCUGCACUGUUGGAUUCGCGCUCUCCACUGGGCAGCCCCCU